UACGUAGGGGACCAAGCGUUGUUCGGAUUUACUGGGCGUAAAGGGCGCGUAGGCGGCGCGGUAAGUCACUUGUGAAAUCUCUGAGCUUAACUCAGAACGGCCAAGUGAUACUGCAGUGCUAGAGUGCGGAAGGGGCAAUCGGAAUUCUUGGUGUAGCGGUGAAAUGCGUAGAUAUCAAGAGGAACACCUGAGGUGAAGACGGGUUGCUGGGCCGACACUGACGCUGAGUGCGCGAAAGCCAGGGGAGCAAACGGG
rnacentral:rRNA from 1 species